rnacentral:rRNA from 2 species
GUGGCCCCAAGUCAGGCGAGAUCACCCGCCGAAUUUAA